ACAAACACAAACCCCGGCGCUUCGUGCGCCAAGGAACUCAAAUCUGUUAAGUGCGACUCCCGGGGGCCCGGAGACGGUGUCCCGCGGGAGUCGUCACGACACAACAUUUACAUACAAUGACUCUCGGCAACGGAUAUCUCGGCUCUUGCAUCGAUGAAGAACGUAGCGAAAUGCGAUACUUGGUGUGAAUUGCAGAAUCCCGUGAACCAUCGAGUCUUUGAACGCAAGUUGCGCCCGAAGCCAUUAGGCCGAGGGCACGCCUGCCUGGGUGUCACACAUCGUUUCCCCAACGCAAACAUGUAACAAUGUUGCUGCGCGGGGUGUAUGCUGACCUCCCGCGAGCACCCGCCUCGUGGUUGGUUGAAAUCUGGGUUCAUGGCCGACUUCGCCGUGAUAAAAUGGUGGAUGAGCCACGCUCGAGACCAAUCACGUGCGAGCCGGUCAGUUCUGGACCCAUCGACGACCCUUUGCGUGCACGCACGCUCCCAACGAGACCUCAGGUCAGGCGGGGCUACCCGCUGAG
rnacentral:rRNA from 1 species